rnacentral:rRNA from 1 species
GGCUUGGUGAUUCAUAGUAACCGAACGGAUCGCAUUAUAGUCAUUUUGUAUGGCUGGCGAUAGAUCAUUCAAGUUUCUGACCUAUCAGCUUUCGACGGUAGUGUAUUGGACUACCGUGGCAGUGACGGGUAACGGGGAAUUAGGGUUCGAUUCCGGAGAGGGAGCCUGAGAAACGGCUACCACAUCUAAGGAAGGCAGCAGGCGCGCAAAUUACCCAAUCCUGACUCAGGGAGGUAGUGACAAGAAAUAACAACACUGGAAAUUUUAUUUCUAGUGAUUGGAAUGAUGGGAAUUUAAACCCCUUUCAGAGUAACAAUUGGAGGGCAAGUCUGGUGCCAGCAGCCGCGGUAAUUCCAGCUCCAAUAGCGUAUAUUAAAGUUGUUGCAGUUAAAAAGCUCGUAGUUGGAUGUCUGCUGGAAGCAAUCAGUCCGCCCUAUUUGUAGGGUGUGCACUUGAUGAAUUCUGGCAUCUAUGUCCCGAUAAGAGAACGGGCGUCACAUUAGCUGUUGGGCGAAAGCUCAAGAGCGUGUGGUCGUCCGUUUAUUGGGAUAAUACUGUUACUUUGAGAAAAUUAGAGUGYUUGAAGCAGGCUAAUUGCCUUGAAUACUGCAGCAUGGAAUAACAAUAUAGGAUUUCGGUUCUAUUUUGUUGGUUUCUAGGACUGAAAUAAUGAUUAAUAGGGACAGUUGGGGGCAUUCGUAUUUAACUGUCAGAGGUGAAAUUCUUAGAUUUGUUAAAGACGAACUACUGCGAAAGCAUUUGCCAAAGAUGUUUUCAUUAAUCAAGAACGAAAGUUAGGGGCUCGAAGACGAUCAGAUACCGUCGUAGUCUUAACCAUAAACUAUGCCGACUAGAGAU